UGGGACCCCAUUCUGGGAGGCCCUCGCCACCCUGCCACCCCUGUAUUCUCUGCUUUUCAUGUGGUAAUUCAUGGUUUAUUUCAGCAGAAAAACAAAACUCUGCCUGAGAAAAGCCUGCCCCACUUGGCCCUCGCUGUGCCUUAGACUGAAGCUGAAAUCCUGCUUGAUUUGGAUUUAUUUUCCGGAAUUAUCUGCGUGUGUGGCAGGGCUGUUUGGCAAUCUCCUGCCCUCUGCAGAUGCUCUGUUCUCCAGGCAGCACUGGGCUCCUGGAAGGAUGCUCCACAUCUCUGCAGGGCAGGAGAGCCUCUGAUGAAAGGGCUGCAAAUUGGGCCAGUCCCCGAGGGAAGCAAUUCCAGGGAUAAAAGCAGUUCUGUCGCCUCUGGGCCGUGGUGUCUGCAGGGCCCAGGGCUGUGCUGUGUCUCCUGCAGAAGACAAAGUCCUGGCCCGUGUGUGCUGUGGCUCACAGUGCAAAUGCCAUUCCUCACCUGUGCCUCUGCCUGCACAGCACGCUCAGGAGCUGUGCUGAGCGAGCUCUGCCCUGCCAGGAGAUGUUUCUGCUUUUUAUCUUCACGAAUGACCACGUUAUUUAUCUAUUGGAACGCGCCCAACACCAACAAGUGCUCAUGCAAGCAGCGAGCAAAAGCUCCCAGCAAACAGUGUGACACUAAUCUGUUGUUUGUGCUAAAAUACAGAGGAAAUUACUGCUUGCCUGUCAUGAAGCUCAUAAAGGAAAAAAGAAAAAUGCCACCGCAAAAGAAUGAGCUUCAAAAGAAAGUUCCAUUAUCAGUUUGUUUCAUGCCUUGUAGCUCCAGCUGCAAACAAUCCCUUCCGUGAACACCCCCUCAAGAUAAAUGGCAGCACAAUUCGGGUGCUAUCGGGGAGAUAAAGCCACGAGUCGCCUGUUUGGGGAGGGAGGAUCUGCUGCUUUAUUUUGUAACAUCUCAUCACCAUCUUGGGGGAGCAAAUGAAUAUGUAUCGUCUGUUAUCUUGUCAUUUUGGAGCCAAACAACUUAAAAUACGUUUUCUGUGAAAUAACCCCGGGGAUUUCAAGACCAGAAUAAAUUAUUAGAGCAAUUUGAGCUCGGAGUCUCUGCACUUGCUUGGAACGUGGUAAAAGCUCUUCCUGGUUUGUGGGAGCUGCUUUUGCUUAGGAAGCAAAGGGGGAAAAAGAGGGGAAAUAACCCCCAAAGCUUUCCUAGCCCAGACACCUCUGCCAAAGCAGGGAACCUGUGGGGUGGGAAAUGGCCUCUUCCCCAGGAACAGGGACAGGAUGGGGGAAUGGCCUCAGGCUGGGACAGUGGAUGGUCAGGUGGACAUUUAGGGAGAUUUCCCCAUGGAAAGGGUGGGCAGGGGGUUUGGAGCGCCCAUCCCUGGAGCUGGCACUGGGAGCUCUGGGCUGGGCACAGGCUGGUGUGAAGGUCUGGGAGGGAUUUCCCAGCGGAAAAGAUUUUGGGAUUUACAGGCACAGCUGAUGAGGGCUGGGCCUGCAGCCUGUGGUGGCGUGGGCACGGAUCUGGUGGCAAAUGCCCUUCCAGGCUGUGGCACUGGUUCCUGUUCGGUAACUGGUGCUGGGAUUUCUGAGAAUUCUCUGGUUCUGCGAUCCUCAGGCUGAGCAGAGCCCCGUGCCAGCCCAGCGGCCCCUGGGCUGUGCUCUGCUCCUGGCGCAGCUCUUCCAGGGCUGGAAAAGGCAGGAAUUAACUCCUUUAAUGAACACGUCACUCCUUCCUGAACACGGACAGCCGAGAGGACAGAGCAGAUGAAGAAAAGACGGGAUUUUAGCUGUUGCCACGUCCUGCUGCUGCAGCUGACUGUGUGGGCCAGCCACAGGCCUGAGCCAAGCUCUGGAGCCAGGCCUGUGACAAUCCAUGCAAAUCUAAGCUCUAAUCCUUUUGUAUUGAUGGAAAUUAAACUUUUAUUCUUGCCAUGGAUAUGGGAGCCUGAAAUUCACUUUGGGAAAAAAUUCAGGGUUUUAUUUUUGGCUCCACUUUCACAAUUACUCAGCCCAGGGCGUUUUUAUGCUGCAGCUCCAUU
ensembl:lncRNA